rnacentral:rRNA from 1 species
GACGAACGCUGGCGGCGUGCUUAACACAUGCAAGUCGAGCGGUAAGGCCCUUUCGGGGGUACACGAGCGGCGAACGGGUGAGUAACACGUGGGUGACCUGCCCUCAGCUCUGGGAUAAGCCUGGGAAACCGGGUCUAAUACCGGAUAUGACUCCAUGACGCAUGUUGUGGGGUGGAAAGCCUUGUGCGGCUGAGGAUGGGCCCGCGGCCUAUCAGCUUGUUGGUGGGGUGAUGGCCUACCAAGGCGACGACGGGUAGCCGGCCUGAGAGGGCGACCGGCCACACUGGGACUGAGACACGGCCCAGACUCCUACGGGAGGCAGCAGGUGGGGAAUCUUGCGCAAUGGGCGAAAGCCUGACGCAGCGACGCCGCGUGAGGGAUGACGCU